CCUUUCAAUGCAGCAGAAUUGGGAUGGUUGAGUAUCUCGCCUUUCAAUUCUGCCUGUAUUCCACCCUUGUUUUUCAUACACUAUUAUUUCCUCGGCAGGCUUGCCUGCCGAGUGAAACCAAUUAUAACCUAUUUAAUUUUCAAUCAGCGUCUGAAAUAAUUAAUAAUUA
rnacentral:misc_RNA from 1 species